AGAAAUUUAGGUAAUUAACUAAAG
rnacentral:tRNA from 1 species